UACGAGUACCCCAAGCGUUAUCCGGAAUCAUUGGGCGUAAAGGGUGUGUAGGUGGUCUUGUUAGUCUUCUGUUAAAAUCUUGGGCUCAACCCAAGACUUGCAGUGGAAACGGCAAGACUCGAGGAUGCGAGAGGUGAAUGGAACUCAUGGAGUAGGGGUGAAAUCCGUUGAUAUCAUGGGGAACACCAAAAGCGAAGGCAAUUCACUGGCGCAAUCCUGACACUGAGACACGAAAGCGUGGGUAGCGAACGGG
rnacentral:rRNA from 1 species